rnacentral:rRNA from 1 species
UACGUAGGUGGCAAGCGUUGUCCGGAUUUACUGGGCGUAAAGGGCGUGCAGGCGGUUUGUUAAGUGCAGGGUGAAAGCUCUCGGCUAAACCGGGAGAGGUCGUUGGAUACUGGCGAACUAGAGGAUGGUAGAGGCGUGUGGAAUUCCGGGUGUAGUGGUGAAAUGCGUAGAGAUCCGGAGGAACACCAGUGGCGAAGGCGACACGCUGGGCCAUACCUGACGCUAAAGCGCGACAGCAUGGGGAGCAAACGGG